GCCAGCGUGGUGGAAUUGGUAGACACACAGGACUUAAAAUCCUGAGAUCCGCAAGGGUCGUACGAGUUCAAGUCUCGUCGCUGGUA
rfam:Prochlorococcus marinus str. NATL2A, complete genome.